rnacentral:rRNA from 1 species
UACGUAGGAGGCAAGCGUUGUCCGGAAUUACUGGGCGUAAAGCGAGUGUAGGUGGUUGUCGUAGUCAGGUGUGAAAACCUUGAGCUCAACUCAAGAAAUGCACUUGAUACUGGGCAGCUAGAGGACCGGAGAGGAUAGUGGAAUUCCCAGUGUAGUGGUGAAAUACGUAGAGAUUGGGAAGAACACCAGUGGCGAAGGCGGCUAUCUGGACGGUUUCUGACACUAAGACUCGAAAGCGUGGGGAGCAAACAGG